rnacentral:rRNA from 1 species
CCUACGGGUGACAGCAGUGAGGAAUAUUGGUCAAUGGACGAGAGUCUGAACCAGCCAAGUAGCGUGAAGGAUGACUGCCCUAUGGGUUGUAAACUUCUUUUAUAUGGGAAUAAAAUGUUCCACGUGUGGGAUUUUGUAUGUACCAUAUGAAUAAGGAUCGGCGAACUCCGUGCCAGCAGCCGCGGUAAUACGGAGGAUCCGAGCGUUAUCCGGAUUUAUUGGGUGUAAAGGGAGCGUAGGUGGAUUGUUAAGUCAGUUGUGAAAGUUUGCGGCUCAACCGUAAAAUUGCAGUUGAAACUGGCAGUCUUGCGUACAGUAGCGGUGGGCGGAAUUCGUGGUGUAGCGGUGAAAUGCUUAGAUAUCACGAAGAACUCCGAUUGCGAAGGCAGUUCACUGGACUGCAACUGACACUGAGGCUCGAAAGUGUGGGUAUCAAACAGGAUUAGAUACCCCUGUAGUC